UAUAUCUGCUGCCAGGAGUUCCCUUGUGGCACUCUGGGUUAAGGAUCCAGCCUUGUCAGUGCAGCAGCUCUGUUGCUGCUGUAGCAAGGGUCCCUGGCCUGGGAACUUCCACAUGCUGCAGGUGCAUCCAAAAAAAAAAUUAUAUCUGCUGUCUUAUUUCUUCAUGACUGCACACUUCUUUUCACUUUAUGACGUCAGCUGUCAUUGACACUCAUGAAAACUUAAGGAUGGAGAAGGGCUAGUUUGCUCUCUGUGACAGAUGGUAUUUUUCCAAAAAUGAAUCCUAUCUCAUGUGCCCCUCUUCUGAUAAGAUUCUGAUGUUUCUCUGUCAAGAUAUGGGAUCUAAGUUCCUUCGCUUGAAUCUAGCAGACCUGAGACUCUGGCAGGGGUAAUGCUAGGUGACUUUCAAAGCUAAGUCAUAACAGGUGACACACCCAGAUGGCUUGCUCUCUCAGGAUGCUCCUGGCAUCAUGAACCCAAGCCCCAUGCUGUGAGGAAGCCCAAGCAGCCACCUAGAAGCUACUCCUACACCCUUGCAGGAGUCCUGGCACCAACUGAGACACGAGAGUGAGAGAGACUUCAGAAGAUUCCCACUCCCUGCCUUCAAGUCACUCCAGACAUAAACUGCUCUAAGUCCUGUCCAAAUUGCUGAUCUGGAAGCAAAAUAAAUGUUGUUUUAAACCACUAAAUUUUAGCUUAUUGUUAUGUGGCAAUAGGUGACUGAAACACUGGCAGACUCUCUCCUGAGGACAACACGCUGGGUUUGACUGAGUGUCGGAGUGGGCAUGAACCUGAUUUUGAUUCAGUACAAGUGGUGAACAGUUACAGACUGUGAUGAAGGAGAAGGAGCCAGCAGGGUGAGUAACACCCAGUGGGUGUGGAGGCUUCCUCAAAGAACUGGGGAGGUGGCUGGCUCAGGAAUUCCAGCAGGAGAGGAGGGUGGCCUGGACCACCACCGUCCAUGGAGGAUGCAGAAUAUGCCCGGCUUGGGCCCGGGCCCCGCCCAUGGGAACAGAGUGGGAGUGCCGGAGAACAACUUGGCCUUGACUCAAUCUGGAUGACCCAUGCACUCCAGGCUUGGACCCAGACCUGAACAGAAGCCAUCCCACCCAGGGAACCAAACCAGGACGGGGAGACAGAGUUGUUCCUGUGUAUUUUUCUCUUACCCACG
rnacentral:lncRNA from 1 species